rnacentral:lncRNA from 1 species
AUUCUAAUCCAGUCUUAACACAUAGAUACCUUCUCAUAGUCCCUUUAAAAAUAAAAAAAAAUUACUGACAUAUAAACAGUUUGCAUGUGGAAGAGGAACACAGAAAGUUUAUAGCUGAUUGAAGACAAAGUUCAACCUUGUAAUAGUCUUUGUUUCAGUUUUUUUGAGGAGACACUCAGGGGUACAACUUCUGUCUAAAUAAUUAUCCCACUAGGGGAGGAACCCUUAAAACAAAUCAUCCCCAAUAAUAGCCUUUGUUAGACUGAGGAAAGUGCAGUUGAAGUUUGACAAGAUACCGCACAAUUCUAAAGAGAAGUGAGUGAUUCAAAUAAAAGGAUCUUUUCGAAGGUAAAUGUGAAGAAUAACUUUGGGAAUGUAAAUCACAAAAUCCAGAGAAAACUGUAGUAUACUUUUCACUGUAUUUUGUUUCAAUAAACAAACCAAGUUUCACUGAUUUAUUUUAUUUCAUUUUUGGACAGAAAGAAAUCUCAUUAUGAGGAGAACUGGGAACUGGAAACUCCGAGAGAAGAAAGGGUUACGUACUUAGCAGAAGGGAGGAGUUUCAAAUCCUGGCAGUCUACCACAGACAGUGUUCACUUGAGACUACACAGUACUGCUUAUGAAAUGAAACUGGCGGAAGGUAAGACAAAUGAGCAACUUCCUUUUGGUGCCCUCUCCAGGUUAGUGAACCAAAUAGGUUCUAGGUUAGAAUCGUCACC